AGCUGAACUUUGCAGGACAGUCGAUCGCCAGGAGCAGGGUUGGGCACCCCUGGUCUAUGUAAUCGCAGCUAGUGCUUCCCUUUCUCCAAGAAGGCCUGGAAAGGCACCUAUCUCUGACAGCAGCAAAUUAAAAAUCACACAGUGGAUGGAAGAUCAGCUGGAAAGCACAAUCUUAUUAUUCGAUUCCUGAGAAGUGCACGGAGAUUAAUCUUCCAAGACUUCACCUCAUCCCCUCUUGGGAUCUCUUAGUGGUCUUACAGACACUACAGAAAGAUCAUUUUGAGCCUUUAAAGGAAUUAGGACAUGUGUCUUUCCCCUAUGUUUGGGGACCUGCUGCAGCCUAACCCAGCUGAGACUUAAAUCUUGGGGAUCGCAAGUCAAGUUGGUGGAGGAAUUCAUAUGAGUGUCAUCUGAUCCAGGAGAUAGCAGUCUUCUGGUUGUGGAGGCCGAAGAAGUUAUGGAGGCCUCACAGCCUGCCUGACCACAUACAAUGAACUUCUGAAGCUUAUGGGUCAUGCUACAGACAGGUUAGAUCUCUCUUGGAAGCGUAUGAGACCUCAAAUCACUCAUUGCAGACUACAUGAGGGAUUUCUGUCUGGAACACAGCCAGGGCCUUUCCACUGAUGCAGUGCCAGAGCUGUGCUGGAUUACGGUUGUUGUUCUCCGGUCCACUAAGCAAGCACCUGUCAUGAUUGGUCAAUCGAUGGUGGCUAUGGUGCCAACAGAGAGGCAUCUGUGGAUCAGCUUGGCUGACAUCGGGGGAAAAGAGAGGAUCCUCCUCUUCGAUGCAUCAGUUUCACCCUUUGAGCUUUUUGGCACAACCAGUGGUUGAGAAAUUCAGGGAGGUGAAGACACAGUCUGCAGGUUUCAAAAAGAUUUAUACCACAUUGAUCCAGACCUGCACCUCAAACCUCUCAAGGCCCAGUUCUGUCUAGGUCUGAGGACCAAAGCAGUGUGGUAGAGGGUGUCUAUUUUGAUGAUGAGAACAUGUAUAGGCAACACUGUAUGUUAUAUCCUCAAGCAAAUAUGUUGAUGAGAAAAUCUUAUGUGUUCAAAUAAUUAAAUUCAAGUUUUCAAUUCAAGUUUAUUUUUAUAGCGCUUUUUACGAUACAAAUCAUUGCAAAGCAACUUUACAGAAAAUUAAGUUUCUACAAUAUUUAGUAGUAGCUUAUCAGUGGUGACUGUCAGUUUAUGUGCAUACGGCAAAAAUGUUCAGAAAAAUCAAUAAAAGACGUAAACAAACAGAC
ensembl:lncRNA